UACGGAGGGUCCAAGCGUUAUCCGGAAUCAUUGGGUUUAAAGGGUCCGUAGGCGGUUUUGUAAGUCAGUGGUGAAAGCCCAUCGCCCAACGGUGGAACGGCCAUUGAUACUGCAGAACUUUGAGUACAGACGAGGUAGGCGGAAAUUGACGGUGUAGCGGUGAAAUGCUUAGAUAUCGUCAAGAACACCGAUAGCGAAGGCAGCUUACUAGACUGUAACUGACGCUGAUGCACGAAAAGUGUGGGGGAUCAAACAGG
rnacentral:rRNA from 1 species